AGCGAACGCUGGCGGCGUGCUUAACACAUGCAAGUCGAACGCGCAGUUUCCUGUAGCAAUACAGGAGGCGGGCGCGUGGCGAACGGGUGCGUAACACGUGGAUAACCUUCCUUCAGGUGGGGAAUAACCCCGCGAAAGCGGGGCUAAUACCGCAUCACAUGACGAUGGCACAUGCUGUUGUCUUCAAAGCCGCAAGGCGCCAGAAGAGGGAUCCGCGGCCGAUUAGCUAGUUGGUGAGGUAAUGGCUCACCAAGGCAAUGAUCGGUAGCCGGACUGAGAGGUUGGCCGGCCACACUGGAACUGAGACACGGUCCAGACUCCUACGGGAGGCAGCAGUGGGGAAUCUUGCGCAAUGGGCGAAAGCCUGACGCAGCAACGCCGCGUGGGGGAUGAAGCUUCUCGGAGUGUAAACCCCUUUCGACCCGGACGAAUGCCCGCAAGGGUUUGACGGUACGGGUAUAAGAAGCCCCGGCUAACUACGUGCCAGCAGCCGCGGUAAAACGUAGGGGGCCAGCGUUGCUCGGAAUUACUGGGCGUAAAGGGCCCGUAGGCGGUGUGGCAAGUCGGAAGUGAAAUCUCUGGGCUUAACUCAGAGGCUGCUUCCGAAACUGCUGUGCUAGAGUGCGAGAGAGGCGAGUGGAAUUGCGGGUGUAGCGGUGAAAUGCGUAGAUAUCCGCAGGAACAUCCGAGGCGAAAGCGGCUCGCUGGAUCGCAACUGACGCUGAGGGACGAAAGCUAGGGGA
rnacentral:rRNA from 1 species